AGCGAACGCUGGCGGCAGGCUUAACACAUGCAAGUCGAGCGGUCCCUUCGGGGUCAGCGGCGGACGGGUGAGUAACGCGUGGGAAUGUGCCUUCUGGUCUGGAAUAACCCUGGGAAACUAGGGCUAAUACCGGAUACGCCCUUUUGGGGUAAGGUUUACUGCCGGAAGAUCGGCCCGCGUCUGAUUAGCUAGUUGGUGGGGUAACGGCCUACCAAGGCGUCGAUCAGUAGCUGGUCUGAGAGGAUGAUCAGCCACACUGGGACUGAGACACGGCCCAGACUCCUACGGGAGGCAGCAGUGGGGAAUAUUGGACAAUGGGCGCAAGCCUGAUCCAGCCAUGCCGCGUGAGUGAUGAAGGCCUUAGGGUUGUAAAGCUCUUUUAUCCGGGACGAUAAUGACGGUACCGGAGGAAUAAGCCCCGGCUAACUUCGUG
rnacentral:rRNA from 1 species